GCUUCUCCAUCACCCACGUGUCCGACUUGGACGCCGACUCCGUGGGAGGUGACCAAGAAUAAGAGAGGACUGAAGUCCUGGCAGUUGUGGGCAGCAGAUUCCAGUGCUUCGGUGCCCCAUGCACGUGCUGGAGAAGCAAGUGGGAGGAGAGGCUCCUCUCCGGCCCUGGACAUAGAUGGGCUGCGUAUGCCAGUCCUGUGCUGCCCUGGGGGCAGAAUGUGUCCUGGACACUUGGUUUGCUGCUAGCUCCCAGGGAUGCCCGUGGGCGUCUGUACACACACAUAUAAACACUCAAGAGGGGCCUCACACCCCUAGGCCAGGUGGCUCCCCACCUUGCAGUUGCCCUUUCCCCUGGCUGCUGCUGUUGGGCUGCUUGACCUCUGAGGCCAGACUGCUCUUGUCCAAGGGGCCUGCAUGCCCUGCCCAGCUGGCCCCUCAGUGUGCUCCCAGGACACUGGCCUCACGACAGGAGGCUCGCAAGCCCCUUCCUGCUCCCUUUGCUUUUCUUGCCUGGUUUUGGGUUUGCUCGGUGCAAGGAGAGGACUCUGGGCUCCCGUGUCCCCUGUCACCCUAAUCUCAAAGUCUGUGGCUGUGUUUUUGUUCCCUGACUCACUUGCCCCAUAAGGCCUCCUUCCACACAGGGUCUGGGCUGCUCCUGCCUGGGUCCCACUGCCGGAGCCCGGGCUGCGGGUGGGUGGGCCACAAAAGUGGGCAGCCAGAAAGACAGGGAGUGGGAGGCUUCUGGGCCGCACCCCUGCUGCCACGGGCCCCCUUUUAGAGGUGUCCUUGGCAGGGCAGUGCGGGCAGCUCCCCUCUGCAAGGCACUGCCAGGCCCUGAACCUAGCUGCCAGAGGAGAUGGGGCUGCACCUCACCGUGAGUGUCAGGAGCUCCUGCCUGCAGGGACGGUGACCGCAGAGAAAGGGUCGAACUGGCGGUAGCACAGGGAGUAUUUUUGUAAUCGCCUUUGCUGGAGCGAAUGGAUGUGGAUGAUUUUAAGUUAUUGUUGCCAAAGAGACGUAUGUAAAGUUUAUUGUUGCUUUGGGGGUGGUGAGGGCUUGUAUUUGUAUUUUUUGUUUCUUAUUAGUUUGAGGCUCAGGAUGCUGGUGCAGUGAUCUUGUUCCUUUUCCAUUUCUUUGUUUUUUAAGACAAAUCAAGCUAAGAAAAAAAAAAAAAAAAAGCCUCUGUG